rnacentral:sRNA from 1 species
GGGUUAGAUGGAGAAGGGGGGUUCAUUUCUUUCUGAUAGUGACGGCCUUGGUUCACAGGCUGAAAGAAACAAAACAUCUGUGAGGCGGAAACCCAUCAGCUUGGCGACCUUGGCACACACCCUCGCAUCAGUCCUCAUUUCUGAUGUUUUGAUAUCAACGGUUCUCAUUUUUUGAGAUCUUAUUUCUGAUAUUCCAUCUGCAGGAGAGAGCUGCGUCCCCUUCCCAGCGUAGGCAGAGGCUCUGGGAGACCCAGCAAUCCCAGGGUGGCAUAACCCACAGAACGCAGGCCACUUUAAAGGGUUCCGUAGCAUCUGUGAUGUAAACAGAGGCCUCCCUCACAUGAGAGCUCUCCGUGUGGAAUCUUUAGGCUGUUGCUGCUUCUGGAGACAGCAGAGGAAAACAAGGUCUCCUGCUGAAAGCACUGGCAAUGGCUAGAGGUGCAGCAAAACAUAUUUAUGUCUCAGGGCCAGUAAGUUGGCGAGGACCACUCUGUUGCCGUUAGCUUGGACUGUUCAUGUGAAUCUCAGGUCCCACCCCCAAAUGUAUACGAAAACUGUGAGCAUGGAUCAGAAUGAGCUGACAAAGUGGUGCUAGUAAAAAUGGGGACUCUCUAACCCCCCCCACAAUAAACCUUUCCUCAUUUCUUGAAACACAACUAAGAAACACACAAAAAACAAGACAGAAAAACAAAUGAAUGCCAAUAAUAAAACUUGAUUUUCUUCCUCUUUGAGGAGAAAGUUCGGACAGCUAAUACCAACUCCAUUUUGAGGAUAAUUCUAAAUGUUUUCCUAACGUGGCUAACAAUGACAAAAUUCUAACAUGGAAACCACAUUAUUUUGGCCUUCUUGUUUUACCACACGGUGGAACUUGGCAUGCAUUUGUGAAGUGCAUUCAGAACUCCUGCUCCCACAGGGGUUGCUAAGGCCCCUUCACCCUAGUGAGGAGAUGUGGUCCCAUGGUGCAGAGGUGCAGAGACCAAGCUAAGAUGUGUCAGUCACCCAUGUGAGAAUCAUGUCACUUAGCCUGGCUACCUGCGAUGCACCAUGCAUUUCGGUGCUCUCAGAUAAUUUGGUGAGUGAACGGCAGGCAACACCGUCACGGUAAUCAGAAAUAACAGCUGGGAGAACAGUGGAAGGGAAAUAUGUCAUAAGGCAUAACUCAUCUCACCAGAGAAAUCAAAAUUUCAGCAAUUUGCAAGUGAAAUUUAGUUGGCAAUUUAGGCUUUAUUAUUUAGAGCGAGAGCUGCUUCUCUGGAUCAGCUUGCACUGGGAUAGGAAAUGUCCCAAUGAUGCCGUCGUUGGCAUCCACUGUGCGUCUGCAGCACUGAGGCCUCUGGUGAAUGGACUUCUGCUUAUUUAUCUCCACAUGCACUUCCAGAACUUUCUGGGUAGGUAUCACAGCUCCAUAACCGAGCAAAUGUCCACCCCUGAAUUUUAUAGCCAUUGGUUCUAUGUAAACUCAUUCCAAGCCCUUAUUCCAGAUGCUGUCUUUCCUUCCUUGGAAAGCUCUUUGCCCUGGGCACACUAGUUCUUCUCAGUGAUCCAAGGGGGAAGAAAGGCACAUCCAAUAAUGACUCACAAUAGUGUUUGGAAACAUUCAAUAACAGCUUUUCAGAGAAGGAAAAACUUCAUAUGCAGAGGUAUGUCUGCCUGAAGUCAAAUGUCAUCAAGUUGACUUUAUGGGGCUGAAGACCUGCUACCCCACCUGUGGUAUCUUGCAUUGAGAAACAGAAGCAGUGACAAGGUUGCACAUCCCUGCCCUUGCUCUUUACCUCAUACAACUGAGGAAGGAGUUUGUGGUGUACUCCUAAACCUUAUGUGAUCCUCCCUGCACCCAGAAGAAAGGAUCCCCCUUAUCUCAAGAAGGUGCAGGAACACAGGGGAGAGGCUGAUCAAAAGGCCUUGCUAAGCUCUCCUGGUAUCCUUCCAGUAGAUCAUAUCACCUUUAUUAAAUCAUAGUUCUCCAUGAAUUUCCACUCUGUCUAAUCUAGCAUGACAAUAAGCAAGAGACCAUUUCUCUUGGAAAAUUCAAGUGUAAUCAUUUCUCUGGGUCUUCCUUUUUUUUCUUUUUGAGGGUUCUUGUGUCAUGAAACACGUAUGAAAUUUAUUUGUAGGCUUUAAAAAAGAAAUGAAUCUGUCUUCUAUUAUAAAUUCUCAGCCAUGGACCUAAGGUGGGUAGUGAAGGAGACAUUUUCCCUUUCCUGGGUUUCUCCUAUAGACAUAUCAAUAAGUUUGUUUUUUGGGUAGGUAACAUCCUGUGACGGUAUCUGUGAUGGUCAAAUAAAAUCAAGGUUUGAUUUUGGAAUUUAGCCUUACGUGCAGAAUACUCUAAGUAUUCUUAGAGUAUAAUGCAAAAGGCCAUUGCUCAUGCCCAGAAGUAACAACACCAACUCCAAUAGCAGCAGCAACUUACUGGUGUCUACGAACACCUACGAGGGCCACAGCAGUGACGCAUAUUUACCUCAGUUACCUCGUGCUAAUUCUCGAGAGGGAUGAUCUCAUUUGAGCCCCACUGCAAGCCUGUGAACUACAUAUGAUUAACUCAUUUAUUAGAAGAGGACAUUCUGCUACUAGUAUUAACCCAAGACCGUGCUUGCCAGGACACGGUGCAGCUAGGAUCUGUACCCAUUCGUGAGACUCCAUCUCGGCACUAGUUUGUUUGUAUUGUUUAAUGCAGCUUGGGAAUUCACGCAGAAUGUGGAAUGCAAUGUUUCUGAAUAACAACCUGGCAGGAUCCAUUCAGUAUACGGAAAGGAAAAAGGAAGCAGUCCCAAGAUACAUUUGUCUGAAGCAUACGAGACUGUCCGAUUUUUAUAAAUUAAGUUCACUUGAUUUGACACUCACAGCAUGUCGCUAUAUAUUUAAAGUUAACAUCAGUAAGAUUUUAAGCACACUGAUGAACGUGGGCCUGUUAUAUAUAGUUGAGUUAUAUCAGGCAACACACACUCGGAGAAUAAGGACCAUUCAUAUUGUGAGGUGACUUUUGUAGUCGCUAGCCAUAGAACAACUUGCACAUAACCAUAUUUUCUCCUGACAGCACAGAAAUGACCGUGACUCUAAUAUCAGUUUCCUCGUAUCAUUUCUCAGUUUCAUCUGAUUUUAUCUACAGUGCAGCACAAUCAAAACCCUACCUUCCUAGUUUACCCAGAUAACAAACAAGCCUGGCAUAUCCUGCAAGAGCUGAGGAACUAAUGAGUCUGUGGAUGAGAAGAAAUUAAGACCCAUUAGGGCCCCAGUCCGUGUGCACGGCCCCAGGAUGCCUGCUUAGCUCCAGGAGCCAUGAGAAGAGGAACUUGAAGAACUCCUGCCAGGUAGCAGGCUCCUAACAUGGAAAGGCCCUUUGGGGCUGGCUCAGCAGCUAAUGGUGCUUUCCACAGAGCCUGACAACUGGGCCCAGUCAAUCCCUGGGACUGCCAUGGUGGAAGAGAACUAAUUCAGCCAGGCUGUGCUCCAACAUCCAUGCCCGUGCCAUGCUCUGACCUAAGUGAGGACGUCUGACAGCGUGCCUGGGACCUAGAGGCCAUGUUGAUAUGGAUUGCUCCUUCCUAUACCUUCCCACAGUUCUUUGUCUCACUGACACUCAUCAUCCUGAAUCGCAGAGCUUCUGUCGCUCUGUGAGCAUCCUAAGGUGGGGACAAGUUUUAUCCCUAACAUCCCUCCUAGUCCCCACCACAUUGUACUGAAUAGGUGCGGAAUGAGCGCAUGCGACACAGAUGACGAAGUCUGGGACGGGAGGUGGACAUUUACUCCUGCUCUGGGCACAGAGGAAGAUAUGGCCUUCACAGUGAGGCCUAGAGUAGUGCCACCGAAAAUCCUGGAGCUGUCUGGGUGUCAAUCCGGAGCAAGGUACACGGAUACCCUCACCGUGCAGGUACAGAGCUGGAACUGUAACUUGGAGGGAAUGGUGGAGAGAAGGGGGAAGUGAGGCUGGGGUAGGGUGGUCUCUCAGAGUGCAGGAAGCCCUCUGCCUCAGACUCCAGAGGCAAUGGGAGUCACUGCUUUAGGGAGAACGGAGCGUGUGUGAAUAUCCACAGAGACCAGAAGAGGAGGUUGGGUCCCCUAGAGCUGGAGUAACAGGCAGCUGUGGGCUGCCUGCUGUGGCUACAACAGACUGAAUUCUGGCCAUCUGACAACUAAGGAUUUUACUAAGUGCUUAUUAUGUUUCAAAUUCAGCAGCAGAUGUUUUACAAGGCGGUAGGCCACCGGGUGAGUGCUCCUAACCCUUAGAUCAGAGGCAAGGAGAUGAGGUAUGAGAAAAGCCAGACAAACAGCACCGCGCCAAGUCCCUCUUCUGACCUCCGAGGAUACCAGGAGUGCACAUGCAGGAUGCGGAGUUCAUUACGGAAUGCAAUUUCCCAUUUGUUGCUAGUUCCAGUGGUGGAGCAAACCGAACUUGAUGAAAUAAUAAACACGUCCCAUGAAUCUGAAGAAUAGGACAGCGAUGAGAACCCCGUAUCCAGGGCAACCAAGAGUUCAGACUUCUCAGUCCAUAAAUAAUCAUUCCCCGGCUUGCCCUCUGUACUCCUGGUCUCUGAGCCACUUUCUGACAAAAUGGGCUCCAUCCGGACGGAGGCUGCCACUCUUUCUCUAACUGGGGCUUAAAUGACUGCUGGGGAAUAUUCUAUAAAAAAGGCACCGUUUCACUUCUGUCUGCAACUGACUCUUGUAAUUUUUCUCUGGUGAGAGGAUGCUCUGUGGCCAGAGUCAUGGGGGCAUAGAUACCAUCUAGCACCAAGCUGCCUAGAAAGUUCUGGGUAUCCAUGGCUGCGUCUAAUGAGACCAGAUUGAGCAAGAGGAAGCUGGAGGCAGGGGAGACAGAGACAAAGGUCCCAAAGUGAGCACUGGUGGUAACUGUCCGCCUUUGAACCUCCUUAGAGACUUCUGGAUUCACUGUCCAUGAUGACUUGCAUGUUCUCUCAAGAGCACAGGAACCUUAUCUUCCAUUGGAUGCCUGUAGCACCCAUUUGACAAGCAACUCACAUAUUAAGAGUCAGGAAGACAGCCGGGCCACUUCUCAGGAACCGCAGUGUUCUCACAGGAAGUGGAAACGCUAGUGGCAGCUGGAAGGACUCAUGUAACUAACACAUUGGACUACACGCCAAGAGGCUGCCCAGACACACGAUGUCUACAAAACUGUUGGGGGGCCUGGAACAACUGGCAGAUAGCAAACAAUUACUUAUUAAAUAUGCAAAACUUAUCUUCUCUCUACUACAUUUGAACUUAACAUUAUGUAGGUUUAAAACGUAUCUUAAACAUUUUAAGGAUUUAUUGAUAUUUACUUAA